rnacentral:rRNA from 1 species
UUGACCUCAAAUCAGGUAGGACUACCCGCUGAACUUAAGCAUAUCAAUAAGCGGAGGAAAAGAAACUAACAAGGAUUCCCCUAGUAACUGCGAGUGAAGCGGGAAAAGCUCAAAUUUAAAAUCUGGCAGCUGUAUGGCUGUCCGAGUUGUAAUCUAGAGAAGUGCUUUCCGCGUUGGACCGUGUACAAGUCUCUUGGAACAGAGCGUCAUAGAGGGUGAGAAUCCCGUCUUUGACACGGACUGCCAGUGCUUAUGUGAUGCGCUCUCAAAGAGUCGA